CAUAUCACGUUGAAACACUGAUUCUCGUACGAUCACCGAAGAUAAGUAACGUCGAGCCUGGUCAGUAUUUAGAUGGGUGACCGCUCGGGAAUAUACCAGGUCCUGU